UAAGAGUGGAUGUCAUGCAGAGGACCCCAUAGUCAGAAGGAUCGGCAAGUCUGGUUUUGAUAUGAGAAACUACAAGAGGUCUGUGAGUAUUGUGGAUGAAUUGGCCACGAGAUGCCAAAUGAUGCUGACCAAAACUGCCACAUGCGCGAAGGUAGCGACACUACCCCAUCUAGUGAAAACCGUUAUUUCAAAUCUGGCUCCCCAAUUGACGAGACGGAUGACUCCAGCUCCGACGAUCAAGCAGACACCUCAUCAGGCACGAGGAGCUUU
rnacentral:lncRNA from 1 species